CAGUCGCCGCGGUAAUACAGAGGGUGCGAGCGUUAAUCGGAUUUACUGGGCGUAAAGCGUGCGUAGGCGGCUUCUUAAGUCGGAUGUGAAAUCCCUGAGCUUAACUUAGGAAUUGCAUUCGAUACUGGGAAGCUAGAGUAUGGGAGAGGAUGGUAGAAUUCCAGGUGUAGCGGUGAAAUGCGUAGAGAUCUGGAGGAAUACCGAUGGCGAAGGCAGCCAUCUGGCCUAAUACUGACGCUGAGGUACGAAAGCAUGGGGAGCAAACAGGAUUAGAUACACCCGUAGUCCCUGUCUCUUAUAA
rnacentral:rRNA from 1 species